rnacentral:lncRNA from 1 species
CAAUUACAAUUACAUCAAUUUCACCCAUACCUCAAGUAUAUCAAAAGUGCCAACAACCACAUAGCAGACACACUAACAAGUGAAUGGAAGCCAUCAUAAAGCAACCCAGAUAAGAAGCAACACUAUUCAUGGAAGACUAACACAAGAAUUAAAAAAUAUCUGCUUUUUCGGAGGCGGGAGGAAUGACGUAAGCAAUGACAUAGAAAGCCAUUAUUGAAGAUUAACGGGAGGAAUAACGUAAGCAAUGACGUAAAAAGCCAUUAUUGAAGACACCUAAUGACGUAAGCAAUGAAGUAAAAAGCCAUUAUUGUAGACACCUGUCUUUUCAAUGUGGAAGGGAUUAUUUUAUUUUUAAUUAUGUAAAGUGUUGGUAGAAUUAUUUGUAUUUGUCGGUAGGAUAAUUAUUAAGUGUCGGUUGUAUUAUUUUUGAUGUAACACAAAGUGUGUAACCCUCAAUAGUCUAGGGGGCUAUAAUGUAAAUAUGUAUAUCGUAUUGCAAUCAAACGAUUGCAACAAUAAUUGUAACCGACUCUCUUGAGCCUAUAAAUAGGGCCUUUGCCCAUAUGAAAUAAACAAGUUAAGUUUGAGUGUUUAAGACUUGAGUUGAUCUCAAUUGUCUUCUCUGUUGAAAUAGUUGUUAUAUUUCUGAAUAGCAGAGUUCUAUCCAAAUUAUCCACAUAACCAUCCAAUUAUUCAACGUAAUCCAUCAUCAAUAUAAUCCACUGCAUCAUUCAGGUAUAAUCUUAUCUUAAUCUUUCUUAAUUCCGUCAUGUUGUUAAAUUUGAUAUCAGAGCAAUUAAUCCGUCAUCAUGUUAUUUUGAAUUUGGUAUCAGAGCUAAGUAACGUUCUUACUAUUAUUUUGAAUGUUAAAUCUUUCAUUCAUAUGAAUAUUAAUCGUUACAAACAUUCAUCGUUAUAAGUUAUAAACUCAUUAUUAAAAUCAAAUAUUAUUAUCCACCUACAAUUUAAACAUAUGUCGGUAGAAGUUUUUUUACAAUUAUGACUACGUACCAAGAAGUUAGAAAUACAUUUCAUAUGUCAAAAAAGUUUUUAAUUCUCUGACUGCAUCAUAAAUAUAAUAGUAUUAAAAACCCCACCAUCAACAUCUUAUUAGAAUUUAUAAAUCAUAACUUUGAGAAAAAAACUUAUCAUUUUGUUUCUAAAAAUUAUAAUCAUAAGUUUUUCAAAUUUAAAUAUUAACAAAUAAAAAAUCUUGAAAAUAAAAUAACAAGAAUAAUUUAUAAAUAUGUCUCAAGAAAUAGAACAUACACCAAUCAUUAUUAAUAACGAAGAAAAUGAAUCGGGAUACACUUUUGAUGCUCUAAUUAAUAAAAAUAAUAUUAAUAAAGAUGCUAUAAGAAAAUUAAAUUUUACACUAUCUGAAAAACAUAAUUUUAAAUAUAACUCAUUGAGAGAAGAUUAUACAUGAAUGAUGUCGUGGAUUAUAUUGAUGCUGGAUUAUGUUGAAUGAUUGGAUGAUUAUGUGGAUAAUUUGGAUAGGGCUCUGCUAUUUAGAAAUAGAACAACUAUUUCAACAGAGAAGACAAUUGAGAUCAACUCAAGUCUUAAACACUUUCAUAUGGGCAAAGGCCUAUUUAUAGGNAUCAAGAGAGUCGGUUACAAUUAUUGUUGCAAUCGUUUGAUUGCAAUACGACAUACAUAUUUACAUUAUAGCCCCCUAAACUAUUGAGGGUUACACACUUUAUGUUACAUCACAAAUAAUACAACCGACACUUAAUAAUUAUCCUACCGACACUUCUAUUUAAUUACGUAAAAAUAACAAUCCUUAAUUUAAGACACAUGUCCUUUCAACGUGGAAGGGAUUGUUAUUUUUACGUAAUUAAAUAGAAGUCUCGGUAGGAUAAUCAUUAAGUGUCCGUUGUAUUAUUUGUGAUGUAACAUAAUGUGUGUAACCCACAAUAGUUUAGGGGGCUAUAAUGUAAAUAUGUAUGUCGUAUUGCAAUCAAACGAUUGCAACAAUAAUUGUAACCGGCUCUCUUGAGCAUCAAAAGAGUAUUCCAGUUCAUUUUCUUCGUUAUUAAUAAUGAUGGGUGUAUAUUUUAUUUCUUGAGACAUAUUUAAUAAAUUAUUCUUGUUAUUUUGUCUUCAAGAUUUUUUCUUCGUUAAUAUUUAAACUUGAAAAACUCAUGAUUAUAAUUUUUAAAAAUGAUAAUUUAUUUUUUCUUCCAAAGUUACGAUUUAUAAAUUCUAAUAAGAUGUUGAUGGUGGGGUUUUUUAAUACUAUUAUAUUUAUGAUGAAGUUAGAGAACUAAAAACCUCUUUGACAUAUGAAAUGUGUUUCUAACUUCUUGGUACAUAGUCAUAAUUGUAAAAAACCUUCUACCGACAUAUGUUUAAAUUGUAGGUGGAUAGUAGUAUUUGAUUUUAAUAAUGAGUUUAUGAUAAUAACUUAUAACGAUGAAUGUUUGUAACGAUGAAUAUUUAUAAGAAUAUAUAUGAUGAUGCAUGAUGAACAUAUAUUCAUAUGAACGGAAGAUUUAAUAUUCAAAAUAAUAGUAAGAACGUUACUUAGCUCUGAUACCAAAUUUAAAAUAACAUGAUGACAGAUUAAUUGCUUUCAUACCAAAUUUAAAGCGAUGACGGAAUUAAUAAAGAUUAAGAGAAUAUUAUACCUGAAUAAUGCGGUGGAUUAUCUUGAUGAUGGAUUAUGUUGAAUAAUUGGAUGGUUAUGUGGAUAAUUUGGAUAGAACUCUGCUAUUCAGAAAUAGAACAACUAUUUCAACAGAGAAGACAAUUGAGAUCAACUCAAGUCUUAAACACUCAAACUUAAAUUGUUUAUUUCAUAUGGGCAAAGGCCCGAUUCAUAGGCUCAAGAGAGCCGGUUACAAUUAUUGUUGCAAUCGUUUGAUUGCAAUACGACAUACAUAUUUAUAUUAUAGCCCCCUAGACUAUUGAGGGUUACACACUUUAAGUUUGGCAAUUACAAUUACAUCAAUCUCACCCAUACCUCAAGUAUAUCAAAAGUGCCAACAACCAUAUAGCAGACACACUAACAAGAGAAUGGAAGCCAUCAUAAAGCAACCCAGAUAAGAAGCAACACUAUUCAUGGAAGACUAACACAAGAAUUAAAAAAUAUCUGCUUUUUUGGAGGCGGGAGGAAUCACGCAAGCAAUGCCAUAAAAAGCCAUUAUUGAAGAUUAACGGGAGGAAUAACGUAAGCAAUGACGUAAAAAGCCAUUAUUGAAGACACCUAAUGACGUAAUCAAUGACGUAAAAAGCCAUUAUUGAAGACACCUGUCUUUUCAAUGUGGAAGGGAUUAUUAUAUUUUUAAUUAUGUAAAGUGUUGGUAGAAUUAUUUGUAUUGUCGGUAGGANAAUUAUUAAGUGUCGGUUGUAUUAUUUGUGAUGUAACAUAAAGUGUGAAACCCUCAAUAGUCUAGGGGGCUAUAAUGUAAAUAUGUAUGUCGUAUUGCAAUCAAACGAUUGCAACAAUAAUUGUAACCGGCUCUCUUGAGCCUAUAAAUAGGGUUUUCGCAUAUAUGAAAUAAACAAGUUAAGUUUGAGUGUUUGAGACUUGAGUUGAUCUCAAUUGUCUUCUAUGUUGAAAUAGUUGUUCUAUUUCUGAAUAGUAGAGUUCUAUCCAAAUUAUCCACAUAAUCAUCCAAAUAUUCAACAUAAUCCAUCAUCAAUAUAAUCCACCGCAUCAUUUAGGUAUAAUCUUAUCUUAAUCUUUCUUAAUUCCGUCAUGUUGUUAAAUUUGGUAUCAGAGCAAUUAAUCCAUCAUCAUGUUAUUUUAAAUUUGGUAUAAGAGCUAAGUAACGUUCUUACUAUUAUUUUGAAUAUUAAAUCUUUCAUUCAUAUGAAUAUAUGUUCAUCAUGCAUCAUCAUAUAUAUUCUUAUAAAUAUUCAUCGUUACAGACAUUCAUCGUUAUAAGUUAUAAACUCAUUAUUAAAAUCAAAUAUUAUUAUCCACCUACAAUUUAAACAUAUGUCGGUAGAAGUUUUUUUACAAUUAUGACUAUGUACCAAGAAGUUAGAAACACAUUUCAUAUGUCAAAAAAGUUUUUAAUUCUCUGACUGCAUCAUAAAUAUAAUAGUAUUAAAAAACCCCACCAUCAACAUCUUAUUAGAAUUUAUAAAUCGUAACUUUGAAAAAAAAAUAUAAUAAAUAAAUAAAUUAUCAUUUUGUUUCUAAAAAUUAUAAUCAUAAGUUUUUCAAGUUUAAAUAUUAACAAAUAAAAAAUCUUGAAGCUGUUGAUGAAGAUGGCUUAGGGCCAUACAUAAAGUUAAAAUACUAUAGGAGUAUUUUAGAACGCUAAAAGAUUCACACUAAUCCCAGAAUCAUAAUCAGAAGAUAAGAAUCAAACAAGAAUUAAAAUACCAUACGGGUAUUUUAGGACACAUAAACAACCUUGCGUGAAUAACUAAAAAGAUCCUUAUUGAUAUACCUACAACUACAGAGGGUAUACUCCCAAGGUUAUAUAUAAUAAGGAUCCCAUAGGCUAAGAAUGUGUGGUUUCGCCCUAUUUCCUUUUCCUCGUUAGGAUGUGGAUCUAGAGUAGUAUCACAUAUUCGAAGGCCUAUCGGAUCUAAGCUAUAUAUGAUUUGUAUACCCUGUGUAAUCGUAGCAGGACUCGAUAUGGAUCAUACAGUAAAAUGUUAAUAAUCUCUUAGGAUUAUUUAGACAUUUCCAUUCUCGCGCGAACCCUGUAGAAAAACCCACUUCAGUGCUUGACAGAAGAGUUGAUUCCGACCCCGAGGAGGUUCAUCGAGAAGAUUUCCUGUUCGGAAAUAAAUGAACUGGGUCGAGACUAUUGAAUGCACCAAGUGCCCGUAUUCUUUUAGGGACAUUGGUGAGAAAUUUGCCUAAACUUCCGAGAUUCCAGUCAUCCAUCAUGAAGCGGUGACACCCAGAGUCGGAAUCAGAAGGAAGGCGGAGUAGAAAUUCAAUAUGUCCAUACGAGAAGAGAACCCUAGGAAACUACCCGAAGGAAACCAACGUCGGUUCCAGUCAAAGAUACGGGGAAGACCGAGGGAGCCAGUAUAUGGAACCCGGGAAUUGUCUUUUCCUCGUAUUCGUCACGAUAAUUCACCCUUAAAAUGAUACAAUUUAGUGAGUUAGUGGUUACACUACUCACGCUAUGUGUUAGGUAAAUCGUCGUUUCCCGUUGCCAGAUACACGAUUAGGGCGGAUCCCCGCAUCUCUAUUGAGAGAAUUUUAGCCAUCUGCCCUUGUGAGCCUCUCUUUCCGCAGUUUCGUUCCGAACCGUUCUCAAAUCUCUCCAGGCCGGAGAGUGAAACCUUUUCCAGUAUAAAGGUAACUUAGUAGGAACGACUCGCAUCUUAUGGCCUUUUUCCGAUACUCAUACACCCACUUCGAUUACCAGGACUACAUCAUAGGGAUGUAGGUCGACACUCAGACGAUCAGUACCCAAGGCACGGGAAAAGUUUAUGCCUACUACGUUCAGGACAGAAAUGUCCAGGGUUAACCAUCGUCUCUCAUUAUCUUCUAUUCCUUUCCGUGUAGGAAAACCAUGCCACCGAAGAAGCGUAACCAAUCCACAAGCAAGAAACCUGCUCUCUUAUUCGAUGAAGCUACGUUCCAAGCUGCAGUCUCAGCAGUCGUAGCAGCUGUCAUGGCUCACCUGAAUGCUAACACCGCCAAUGUUAGCAAGGGCCCUGUCGGGAUUUCCAAUCCUGGCAAUGGACAGCAGCAACCAACACUUUCAUACCCAGUCACCCAAGAACCUUCACCGAACCCACUAAAGAGAAAACUCAAGAUUGAGGAGGGAAGUACCUCGGCUCAAGGACCUUCCGAAGGGCAACGAGCUGAGGCAGUCUAUACCCCUGUCAAUCCUUCCCUCCCGACCUCAAGAAGACCAUACCUAGGAGACCUUCCCCACUGCAGCAAGUGCAGCUACCAUCAUCAUGGUGCCUGUCGGGAACUCUAUUGUGCUAGGUGCAACAUGAAGGGACAUACUGCUCGCGUAUGCAGAACUCCGGUGGAGCGUAUUACAUCAACCACCAAUGUGGCGACACGUGCAGUUUGCCACCUAUACGGUGAAGUGGGACACUUCAAGAAGGACUGCCCAACCGGAGGGAAAGACAAAGACACAGAAGGAGCCUGACACUACUGCUUAGGGAGAAGCGGCAAGGAACUCAUUAGAUUUUGGUACGUCUCUCGAUCUCGAAUAACAAAUCUAAGAACAAUAAAAGACUAAUUCAAAUGUAAAUUCUUCCUAGUAAGGCAAAAGUCGCAGCACUGCUAUAAAAUUUAAAAUUCAUUAGGUAAAACUAUAAUGGCUAAACAUAUACGUUACGACCAUGUAUAUUUAAGAUGGACAGACCUAGAGUGAGCGAAUGCCGCCUCAUUUCCUGUUUCUCGUUUGGUUGUGGAUUUAGGGCGGGGUCGCUCAGUCAACAGUCCUCCCCACCUUAAAUAUACAUGACUAGUAUAUGUGAGGCGAUUAUAGAAAUGCCUCGUGAGAAUCCGUUCAUGAAAAGAUACUCUAUUCGGAAACACUUAGGACUCUCUGUAGUUCUGCGUCGACUCUAUCGGUCCAAGUAUCCGCGGUAGUGAUACAUAGGACGAAACCCGAGACGCCUAGAACUUGUGUGCCUGUUCGGCACAUGACUCUAUCGAUCUUCACUUUACAUCAUGUCGGAGUGUGCCAACUUCGACGACUCUAUUGAUCAUGGUUUGACUUCGUGCAACCAUGUGUACAUUCUUAGUGUUGUGUAAAAGAACUUUCUCCAUAGCCAUGUCGGCAAAUAAAGGUUCUUCCGAACCUAAACCUAACUCAAAUAAUCAAACAUAAUGCGAUCCGUCAAUCGUUCCCCUUAUCUCAAACCUUCCGAAGUACCCAAGGGAGGGUACCGUACACUGUGACCGACCCCUCGUAGUCAGAUAAACACCGAAGCGAAAGGCACUGCAGAUACUCUAAGAAGACGACCACCAUCCGAAGCAUACUCCGUAGAAUCCCCCGAGAGACCCUUCGCACCUCGCACAUCAGGUUCGUGAACCCAGAGAAUAGAACUCAUAAGGCUGACCACUAUAACCAGGUAUACUGUUGGCAUACAUCAAGUAUUGGCGGUUAAGCCAAGCAUGAGCUCUACCACGGACCUCUUCGCAAAACACUCUCACCCUAUUCCAUAACAUAGGAGUCGGAGUCAAGAGAAUCACUGCGAGUUGAGCCAGUAAAUUUCCGAGUGAUGAAGACUCUAUACCCACUAGCUUUGACCUAGACCGAGAAAACUCAGAACCUUCGGAAGAGUAGUUGCAGUAGAUGCUCGCACUACUCAUGCACCUCGUCCACCCAGUUAUAGACAAGUGGUGCUUAUCAUCCUCCACCCUCUCGCAAGGAGGAAAUCGUCGUCGCCCUGUUGACGAUGAAUUACACUUUCCGAAUUGAACACUAGGAUACCGAGAACCACAGGAUAACCUUCGCAGCCAAGAAUACUUGGCCAUGUACGAAAGUAGUUACGUUAAGCCUCUUGACCCAUAUCCCAAAGAGAUCAUAGGCUUGACACCAGCCCUGGUGUUAGUCGAAGGGUUAUGCUGGAACAUGCACUUUCCACGCUAGAAUAAACCACAGUCUUAGAGAUUCCUUGAACUAUUAGGUGUUCCAUGAAUACUAUCUCACGCUGAGAUAGAAGAACCACCUCCCAAGAUAGUCCAACACUCGUCUAGUGAAACCCUAUCUCCACGACCCUCAGGGUUUUCGUAUCUCAAGCAUCGUUAGUGCAGGUCCAUUUUGCACGAGUUUGGGAUAGACCCUCUAUAGCAAAUCGAUAACCAUAGUCACGCAACCCACUCGACGAUCUAGAAAGUCUCUAUCAGCCAGUUGACAGGAAACGCGAAACCAAAGAGCACUUGAGAUUUCUAAGAACCAACCUGAAGGACUACACACACAGUACGAGUGAGAACGUUAGGAACUUCGGAAUGGCGAUCACACCAGUGAUGAUCUUGCCAUAGAAGUACACUAUGUACUUAGUACUGAAAAGCUCUACCCAUUCUGAGAGCUUAGGACCAUAUGAGAAUCCUUAUGGAGAUUUGGUCCAACCCUUUUCAGGCCGCUACUACCUUCGGAUACCCCGCAAGCUUCACACCUGAUCGAUCCACUCCUUAGACUUGAUACGUGAUUUCCCGACAACACUCUUCAUGCCUCACUCAUCUUGAUAUAAUCCAUUGAGAACCCUAACCUUGUAGAUACACCAGUUGGAACCCACUAGCUACACUAGACGGAAUCCGCAUCCCGUACGUGAAGGUCUGUCGGAAUGACAAACACAGACUGGAGUUCACUUGGGAAUGCGAGGACAACCGUAUAGGAAGUACUAUCUUACCUCUACUUGGCCAUUCAUACCUACUUCCUUGCUUAGACUUGAAUUUCGGGACGAAAUUCCCUCUAACGGGGGGAUGAUGUGACAACCCAAGUUGUCCCGUUACAUUUCCCCGUUACCGUUAACGGAAUAUUCCACUGUAUAAAAGUUCCGUUAAUUAGAGGGCGUCAAUUUAGUAAACAUUCCAUUUGUUUACAUUUAACAUGCCGUUAAGUCGUGAUAAAAGAAAAUAAAAACUCGUAUUACACAUUUCCAUUUAGUUGGAAAAGUUAGUUUUUAUUAUUACGACCACUAAAUCGGGUGCGACCAAAAGCCCCGUUUAACGGCAGUAUUGGGUAGAAUUCCACUGAGCCCCGACCCGGAACCCUAUAUAAGGGUGAGUGGAGUCCAUUUGGAGACUUUUUACCCUCUCUCUCUAUACUCUCUCUCUAGACUCGUUUUCGCCUCGAAUCCGCAACCAAACGCUUCCAAAUUGUAAGUCCGCUUACCCUAGCCUAUUCUAAACAUAUUGAUUCAUGUUUAUAGCUUAGAAAUCGAACCUAGAAGCUGUUGAAAAGGAGUUUACGACCUAAGCUCCUCCUUAGGCCGUAAACACCUAAAAUGAGGCCAAAAUGACCCCCAAAAGUCCCCAAAAGCUUGGAACUAAAUAUGGGAAUUAGCCUAGGAGUGUUUGCACAUUUAAAACAAUCAUUUUGAGGCCUAAAAGAGAGUUUACGGCCCAGGCAUAUGCCAAGGCCGUAAACACCUCUAAACUAAGUCAAAAUGCCUCCAAAACACUCCUACACCACCCUAGGAUUUAACACAUAAAUUAGGGGCUUAUUCUCUUGGGUUUAGAUCACUUAAACAUUAAGAAUUGGAGGAUUAAUAGGAGUUUACGGCCCAGACAUGUGUCAAGGCCGUAAACUCCCCAAACCAAGCCAAAAUGUUGGUUUUUGUCCCCCAAAUGGCCUUAGACAUUGACCAUAAAAUACUAGGAUUGAAUUAAGGGCUUAAACACAAGAAAUGGAGGGAUAAAAAGGAGUUUACGGCCCAAGCAAGUUUCUAGGCCGUAAACUCCCCAAAACACAUCCAAAUGAUGGUUUUAAUCCCCCAAAAUGGCAUCACACUCCAUUAGAAAUUGCUAGAAAGGUAAUAGGGGCUUAAAACUUCACUUAACUCUAAGAUUGAGAGUUUACGGUCGUAAACUCCUAUAAGGUUCCCUUAUAAGCCUUAAAACACUCAUGCCUUUUAUGAAAAGUACUUAGAAAAAUCCCAUGAACAAGCUAGAAGCCUUAAACACACUAGAACCCUUCACCAUGAGUUUACGGCCGUAAACUCAUGGUGAGUAGUCCCUGGGCCGUAAACAUGGUAUUAAGGGUUUACUCUUGGAGAGUAAACUCCAUUCCUAAGCCACACACACCUUUAGACGCUACCCGGGACACCCAAACACUUAUCCAAAGUGUUUUCCGCUCCUUUGAGCGCGUAUAUUUGUUUAAUUAGUAUUAAAUAUACUAAUUGUAUGUGAACAUAUGUUAUCAUAUGUUAAAUAGGUCAUUGUGUGUGUUCGAGUCCUUGCGUGACACCGAACGCCCAAACGGCACCUUCGUCGGACCUACUUACACCAGGUGAGUUCAUACCCCUGAAUGAACCUUUUAAAUGUUUUUACAUGUUUUAUAGGGGGGAAUACAAGUUAAACAUGCCAGUUAUCAUAUCAAUCACAUGUGAUUGAUAACCCGCAUGCACAAGAUUUUACCACACUGUACACUGUUUUACCGAGUAGGACACUAUAAUGGUUUUCAAAAAGGUUUUUCGUUUGUUUCAAGACUCUUAUUUAUACUGCUUUAUUUAAAACUCACUUUAAACUGGUUUAUAAAGGUUUUACAAGAUUUUAAUCAAAGUUCUCUUUCACAACGUAUACUUUUACUUGUUUGUUACUGCUGCUUCGCUUUUACUUAUUUAAAACUCCUACUUGAUAACGCAUUUCCUUCGUGAUACGCUUAUACCGGUUAUUGUCUCUAUAUCGCUUAUACUUGUAGCCACUUAUACUUGAUAGACGCUUUUACUUCACCAGUUGUCGUUUCCACUUCGUGAUACACUUAUACUUGGUACACUUAUACUUCACGAUUCGAUUAUCCCACACUGUACGCUUAUACUUCACGACUCGGAUAUUCCACUGUACGCUUAUACUUCACGACUCGGAUAUUCCACUGUACGCUUAUACUUCACAAGUCGGUUAUUCCACACUGUACACUUAUACUUCACGAUAUGAUUCCACUUGAUACACACUCAAGCGUAGUUAGAUGUAUGUCUGUGCUUGUAUAGAUGCAUAUAAAUAAUGAUUGAAGGACUUAGGAAGGCUUGUCCGCCCUAUUUCCUUUUCUUCGUUGAGAUGUGGUCUGGUGGGAUCGGAUGUCCAUCCGAAGGUCGUUUGAUUCAUUAGUUAUAUAUUAUGUACACAAGCAUAGACAUAUGGGUUUACUUUAGUCAAUUCAGUUAUGAGUCUCUACCUCUAGUUCAGCACUUACAUUAGAAACCCACUAUUUGGAAGUCUCUACCCACUAUUUGGGAUGCAUCUUCAGGACACGGCCUUCUCCGUCGUCUAGUUGGUAACCAGAGUCUCCUGUAGGGAGAGCGGACAUUGUGUGUAUAGAUCUAUACGGGAUUGACACCCCCGCACCCUGACUGCUAGCUACAGUCCACGGCCUACCAAGCCAAGGGGUGACAAAUGUCAUAUUCUCUAGACGCUUGUAGGGCGUCUGGUUCUCUAGUGUCGAUUAGUAUGGUUACGAGUAUCCCAGGUUUCCUUAUAAUUCAUGGUCUUAAGGUAACGGUAUUCACCGACAAUUUACACUGUAUGCUGGUAACUCAUUUUCAGAGUCACACUGUUUUGACCUUGCGAAAUGUAUCCUUCAUUUGAUACUGUCUGCGGUCUGUAUUCUCUGUUUUGACCUUGCAAGAUGUAUCUUUCAUUUGAUACUGUCUGUGGUCUGUAUUCUCCGUUUUGACGUUGCAAGAUGCAUCUAUCGUUUGAUACUGUCUGCGGUCUGUAUUCACUGUUUUAGACCCUUCCAGCUGUACCUUUCAUUUGGUACCUUAUGGGGUCUGUGUGUUCUUUUGUUAGGCUGAACCAGGCGUGUCGUUCGUUCGAUAUUCUCCUGGAGUAUAUGAUUCCUUUGCCUUAGUCAGCAGUCCUCACUGUUCUGGCAUAUGUAUUUUCCCUGACUUCUCUUGCUUUCUUUAAUAAUCAAAUUCUGUAUUUUGAUAAUGAUAGGGAUUAAGGGAAAACUACUUUUUACCACACUAACUCCGUCCAGUCUUGGUAGAAGACUGCUUUAUUUAAAGAAAAUAUAGGAUUUUCUUGAAAGUACUCUAAUACACUGUAAAUUCUUAAACUACCACAUUAUAAAGUUAUUUGGAUAAAAAGUCACUAAAUGCUUACGAACUCACCAGCAUUUGUAAAAAUGCUGAUACUCGCUUUUCAAAUAACUUGUAUUCUCAGGUUAGCAUUAGACAGGUACAUCCCCAGAGUUGUUGAUGAAAAUAGCUUAGUACCAUGUCAUACUUAAUUAUAUUUACUUGUAUUACUUUGAUGUAUUGUAAUGUAACCAUGUAAAAUUAUUACUAUUUAUGCAAUGUUUUGUUGUACUUUGAUUAUUAAAUGCAUGUGUUGUGAUACUUGACAUGACAUCAUCCACCCCAGAACGUUUCCGCCGUUCCGGUUUUGGGGUGUGACAGAUUGGUAUCAGAGCCUUGUUUAUAGUGAGCUAAGUAUAUCAAUUCAUAAAAGAUAUACAGCCUAUAAAUACAAAGGGAUAAAACACUCUGACCAAGAAUUAUACUUUAAAAUAUAACCAUAUUUUACCAAAGUAUAAUAACAUCCAAAACCUAAACACUCGAACAAAAGUAUCACAAGAAGAACAAUAAUAAGAGUCAUCGGAUGUUGAGCACUACAGUCAAACCUGGGCAGUUAUGUAAUCGUAAGCUGGGAUAAAUGUAACCUAAUCAACUACAUUUAUCCGAGAUGCGAUGAACGUGUGCUCGGGAGUGAUAGUGGUGUACAACAGGUCUGAAACUUACCAACUAGGAUUUGCUAGAGCCAUACAUAAAGUUAAAAUACUAUAGGAGUAUUUUAGAACGCUAAAAGAUUCACACUAAUCCCAGAAUCAUAAUCAGAAGAUAAGAAUCAAACAAGAAUUAAAAUACCAUACGGGUAUUUUAGGACACAUAAACAACCUUGCGUGAAUAACUAAAAAGAUCCUUAUUGAUAUACCUACAACUACAGAGGGUAUACUCCCAAGGUUAUAUAUAAUAAGGAUCCCAUAGGCUAAGAAUGUGUGGUUUCGCCCUAUUUCCUUUUCCUCGUUGGGAUGUGGUUCUAGAGUAGUAUCACAAAUUCGAAGGCCUAUCGGAUCUAAGCUAUAUAUGAUUUGUAUACCCUGUGUAAUCGUAGCAGGACUCGAUAUGGAUCAUACAGUAAAAUGUUAAUAAUCUCUUAGGAUUAUUUAGACAUUUCCAUUCUCGCGCGAACCCUGUAGAAAAACCCACUUCAGUGCUUGACAGAAGAGUUGAUUCCGACCCCGAGGAGGUUCAUCGAGAAGAUUUCCUGUUCGGAAAUAAAUGAACUGGGUCGAGACUAUUGAAUGCACCAAGUGCCCGUAUUCUUUUAGGGACAUUGGUGAGAAAUUUGCCUAAACUUCCGAGAUUCCAGUCAUCCAUCAUGAAGCGGUGACACCCAGAGUCGGAAUCAGAAGGAAGGCGGAGUAGAAAUUCAAUAUGUCCAUACGAGAAGAGAACCCUAGGAAACUACCCGAAGGAAACCAACGUCGAUUCCAGUCAAAGAUACGGGGAAGACCGAGGGAGCCAGUAUAUGGAACCCGGGAAUUGUCUUUUCCUCGUAUUCGUCACGAUAAUUCACCCUUAAAAUGAUACAAUUUAGUGAGUUAGUGGUUACACUACUCACACUAUGUGUUAGGUAAAUCGUUGUUUCCCGUUGCUAGAUACACGAUUAGGUUGGAUCCCCGCAUCUCUAUUGAGAGAAUUUUAGCCAUCUGCCCUUGUGAGCCUCUCUUUCCGCAGUUUCGUUCCGAGCCGUUCUCAAAUCUCUCCAGGCCGGAGAGUGAAACCUCUUCCAGUAUAAAGGUAACUUAGUAGGAACGACUCGUAUCUUAUGGCCUUUUUCCGAUACUCAUACACCCACUUCGAUUACCAGGACUACAUCAUAGGGAUGUAGGUCGACACUCAGACGAUCAGUACCCAAGGCACGGGAAAAGUUUAUGCCUACUACAUUCAGGACAGAAAUGUCCAGGGUUAACCAUCGUCUCUCAUUAUCUUCUAUUCCUUUCCAUGUAGAAAAAAAAGCCAUGCCACUGAAGAAGCGUAACCAAUCCACAAGAAAGAAACCUACACUCUUAUUUGAUGAAGCUACGUUCCAAGCUGCAGUCUCAGCAGCCAUAGCAGCUGUCAUGGCUCACCUGAAUGCUAACACCGCCAAUGUUAGCAAGGGCCCUGUCGGGAUUUCCAAUCCUGGCAACGGACAACAACAAACAACACUUUCAUACCCAUUCAUCCAAGAACCUUCACUGAACCCACUAAAGAGAAAACUCAAGAUUGAGGAGGGAAGUACCUCGGCUCAAGGACCUUCCGAAGGGCAACGAGCUGAGGCAGACCAUACCCCUGUCAAUCCUUCCCUCCCGACCUCAAGAAGACCAUACCUAGGAGACCUUCCCCACUGCAACAAGUGCAGCUACCAUCAUCAUGGUGCCUGUCGGGAACUCUAUUGUGCUAGGUGCAACAUGAAGGGACAUACUGCUCGCGUAUGCAGAACUCCGGUGGAGCGUAUUACAUCAACCACCAAUGUGGCGACACGUGCAGUUUGCCACCAAUGCGGUGAAGUGGGACACUUCAAGAAGGACUGCCCAACCGGAGGGAAAGACAAAGACACAGAAGGAGCAUGACACUACUGCUUAGGGAGAAGCGGCAAGGAACUCAUUAGAUUUUGGUACGUCUCUCGAUCUCGAAUAACAAAUCUAAGAACAAUAAAAGACUAAUUCAAAUGUAAAUUCUUCCUAGUAAGGCAAAAGUCGCAGCACUGCUAUAAAAUUUAAAAUUCAUUAGGUAAAACUAUAAUGGCUAAACAUAUACGUUACGACCAUGUAUAUUUAAGAUGGACAGACCUAGAGUGAGCGAAUGCCGCCUCAUUUCCUGUUUCUCGUUUGGUUGUGGAUUUAGGGCGGGGUCGCUCAGUCAACAGUCCUCCCCACCUUAAAUAUACAUGACUAGUAUAUGUGAGGCGAUUAUAGAAAUGCCUCGUGAGAAUCCGUUCAUGAAAAGAUACUCUAUUCGGAAACACUUAGGACUCUCUGUAGUUCUGCGUCGACUCUAUCGGUCCAAGUAUCCGCGGUAGUGAUACAUAGGACGAAACCCGAGACGCCUAGAACUUGUGUGCCUGUUCGGCACAUGACUCUAUCGAUCUUCACUUUACAUCAUGUCGGAGUGUGCCAACUUCGACGACUCUAUUGAUCAUGGUUUGACUUCGUGCAACCAUGUGUACAUUCUUAGUGUUGUGUAAAAGAACUUUCUCCAUAGCCAUGUCGGCAAAUAAAGGUUCUUCCGAACCUAAACCUAACUCAAAUAAUCAAACAUAAUGCGAUCCGUCAAUCGUUCCCCUUAUCUCAAACCUUCCGAAGUACCCAAGGGAGGGUACCGUACACUGUGACCGACCCCUCGUAGUCAGAUAAACACCGAAGCGAAAGGCACUGCAGAUACUCUAAGAAGACGACCACCAUCCGAAGCAUACUCCGUAGAAUCCCCCGAGAGACCCUUCGCACCUCGCACAUCAGGUUCGUGAACCCAGAGAAUAGAACUCAUAAGGCUGACCACUAUAACCAGGUAUACUGUUGGCAUACAUCAAGUAUUGGCGGUUAAGCCAAGCAUGAGCUCUACCACGGACCUCUUCGCAAAACACUCUCACCCUAUUCCAUAACAUAGGAGUCGGAGUCAAGAGAAUCACUGCGAGUUGAGCCAGUAAAGUUCCGAGUGAUGAAGACUCUAUACCCACGAGCUUUGACCUAGACCGAGAAAACUCAGAACCUUCGGAAGAGUAGUUGCAGUAGAUGCCCGCACUACUCAUGCACCUCGUCCACCCAGUUAUAGACAAGUGGUGCUUAUCAUCCUCCACCCUCUCGCAAGGAGGAAAUCGUCGUCGCCCUGUUGACGAUGAAUUACACUUUCCGAAUUGAACACUAGGAUACCGAGAACCACAGGAUAACCUUCGCAGCCAAGAAUACUUCGCCAAGUACGAAAGUAGUUGCGUUAAGCCUCAUGACCCAUAUCCCGAAGAGAUCAUAGGCUUGACACCAGCCCUGGCGUUAGUCGAAGGGUUAUGCAGGAACAUGCACUUUCCACGCUAGAAUAAACCACAGUCUUAGAGAUUCCUUGAACUAUUAGGUGUUCCACGAAUACUAUCUCACGCAGAGAUAGAAGAACGUUUCCGCCGUUCCGGUUUUGGGGUGUGACAGUUAGAAACGCAUUUCAUAUGUCAAAAAGUUUUUAAUUCUCUGACUGCAUCAUAAAUAUAAUAGUAUUAAAAAACCCCACCAUCAACAUCCUAUUAGAAUUUAUAAAUCAUAACUUUGAAAAAAAAUAUAAUAAAUAAAUAAAUUAUCAUUUUGUUUCUAAAAAUUAUAAUCAUAAGUUUUUCAAGUUUAAAUAUUAACAAAUAAAAAAUCUUGAAAAUAAAAUAACAAGAAUAAAUUAUUAAAUAUGUCUCAAGAAAUAGAAAAUACACCAAUCAUUAUUAAUAACGAAGAAAAUGAAUCGGGAUACACAUUUGAUGCUCUAAUUAUUAAAAAUAAUAUUAAUAAAGAUGCUAUAAGAAAAUCAAAUUUUACACUAUCAGAAAAACAUAAUUUUAGAUAUUACUCAUUAAGAGAAGAUUAUACAUUAAUGAUGCGGUGGAUUAUAUUGAUGAUGGAUUAUGUUGAAUGAUUGGAUGAUUGUGUGGAUAAUUUGGAUAGGGCUCUGCUAUUCAGAAAUAGAACAACUAUUUCAACAGAGAAAACAAUUGAGAUCAACUCAAGUCUUAAACACUCAAACUUAACCUGUUUAUUUCAUAUGGGCAAAGGCCCUAUUCAAAGGAUCAAGAGAGUCGGUUACAAUUAUUGUUGCAAUCGUUUGAUUGCAAUACGACAUACAUAUUUACAUUAUAGCCCCCUAAACUAUUGAGGGUUACACACUUUAUGUUACAUCACAAAUAAUACAACCGACACUUAAUAAUUAUCNAAAAAAAACACCCGACACUUAAUAAUUAUCCUACCGACACUUCUAUUGAAUUACGUAAAAAUAACAAUCCUUUAUUUAAGACACGUGUCCUUUCAACGUGGAAGGGAUUGUUAUUUUUACGUAAUUAAAUAGAAGUGUCGGUAGGAUAAUUAUUAAGUGUCGGUUGUAUUAUUUGUGAUGUAACAUCAAGUGUGUAACCCUCAAUAGUCUAGUGGGCUAUAAUGUAAAUAUGUAUGUCGUAUUGCAAUCAAAUGAUUGCAACAAUAAUUGUAACCGACUCUCUUGAGCAUCAAAAGUGUAUCCCACUUCAUUUUCUUCGUUAUUAAUCAGGAUUUGUGUAUUUUCUUUUUCUUGAGACAUAUUUAAUAAAUUAUUCUUGUUAUUUUAUCUUCAAGAUUUUUUAUUUGUUAAUAUUUAAACAUGAAGAACUCAUGAUUAUAAUUUUUAGAAACAAAAUGAUGAUUUAUUUUUUCUUUAAAAGUUACGAUUUAUAAAUUCUAAUAAGAUGUUGAUGGUGGGGUUUUCUAAUACUAUUAUAUUUAUGAUGCAGUUAGAGAAUUAAAAACCUCUUUGACAAAUCAAAUAUGUUUCUAACUUCUUGGUACAUAGUCAUAAUUAUAAAAAACCUUCUACCGACAUAUGUUUAAAUUGUAGGUGGAUAGUAGUAUUUAAUUUUAAUAAUGAGUUUAUGAUAAUAACUUAUAACGACGAAUGUUUGUAACGAUAAAUAUUUAUAAGAAUAUAUAUGAUGAUGCAUGAUGAACAUAUAUUCAUAUGAACGAAAGACUUAAUAUUCAAAAUAAUAGUAAGAACGUUACUUAGCUGUGAUACCAAAUUUAAAAUAACAUGACGACGGAUUAAUUGCUCUCAUACCAAAUUUAAAGACAUGACGGAAUUAAUAAAGAUUAAGAGAAGAUUAUACAUAAAUGAUGCGCUGGAUUAUAUUGAUGAUGGAUUAUGUUGAAUAAUUAGAUGGUUAUGUGGAUAAUUUGGAUAGAACUCUGCUAUUUAGAAAUAGAACAACUAUUUCAACAGAGAAGACAAUUGAGAUCAACUCAAGUCUUAAACACUCAAACUUAACUUGUUUAUUUCAUUUGGGCAAAGGCCCUAUUUAUAGGCUCAAGAGAGCCGGUUACAAUUAUUGUUGCAAUCGUUUGAUUGCAAUACAACAUACAUAUUUAUAUUAUAGCCCCCUAGACUAUUGAGGGUUACACACUUUAAGUUUGGCAAUUACAAUUACAUCAAUUUCACCCAUACCUCAAGUAUAUCAAAAGUGCCAAAACCCAUAUAGCAGACACACUAACAAGAGAAUGGAAGCCAUCAUAAAGCAACCUAGAUAAGAAGCAACACAAUUCAUUGAAGACUAACCCAUGAAUUAAAAAAUAUCUGCUUUUUCUGAGGCGGGAGGAAUGACGCAAGCAAUGACAUAAAAAGCCAUUAUUGAAGAUUAACGGGAGGAAUACCGUAAGCAAUGACGUAAAAAUCCAUUAUUGAAGACACCUAAUGACGUAAGCAAUGACGUAAAAAGCCAUUAUUGAAGACACCUGUCUUUUCAAUGUGGAAGGGCUUAUUAUAUUUUUAAUUAUGUAAAGUGUUGGUAGAAUUAUUUGUAUUUGUCGGUAGGAUAAUUAUUAAGUAUCGGUUGUAUUAUUUGUAAUGUAACAUAAAGUGUGUAACCCUUAAUAGUCUAGGGGGCUAUAAUGUAAAUAUGUUUGUCGUAUUGCAAUCAAACGAUUGCAACAAUAAUUGUAACCAGCUCUCUUGAGCCUAUAAAUAGGGUCUUUGCCCAUAUGAAAUAAACAAGUUAAAUUUGAGUGUUUAAGACUUGAGUUGAUCUCAAUUUUCUUCUCUGUUGAAAUAGUUGUUCUAUUUCUGAAUAGCAGAGUUCUAUCCAAAUUAUCCACAUAAUCAUCCAAUUAUUCAACAUAAUCCAUCAUCAAUAUAAUCCACCACAUCAUUCAGGUAUAAUCUUAUCUUAAUCUUUCUUAAUUCCGUCAUGUUAUUAAAUUUGGUAUCAGAGCAAUUAAUCCGUCAUCAUGUUAUUUUGAAUUUGGUAUCAGAGCUAAGUAACGUUCUUACUAUUAUUUUGAAUAUUAAAUCUUUCAUUCAUAUGAUAUAUGUUCAUCAUGCAUCAUCAUAUAUAUUCUUAUAAAUAUUCAUCGUUACAAACAUUCAUCGUUAUAAGUUAUAAACUCAUUAUUAAAAUCAAAUAUUAUUAUCCACCUACAAUUUAAACAUAUGUCGGUAGAAGUUUUUUUUACAAUUAUGACUAUGUACCAAGAAGUUAGAAACACAUUUCAUAUGUCAAAAAAGUUUUUAAUUCUCUGACUGCAUCAUAAAUACAAUAGUAUUAAAAAACCCCACCGUCAACAUCUUAUUAGAAUUUAUAAAUCGUAACUUUGAAAAAAAAAAUAUAAUAAAUAAAUAAAUUAUCAUUUUGUUUCUAAAAAUUAUAAUCAUAAGUUUUUCAAGUUUAAAUAUUAACAAAUAAAAAAUCUUGAAAAUAAAAUAACAAGAAUAAUUUAUUAAAUAUGUCUCAAGAAAUAGAAAAUACACCAAUCAUUAUUAAUAACGAAGAAAAUGAAUCGGGAUACACUUUUGAUGCUCUAAUUAAUAAAAAUAAUAUUAAUAAAGAUGCUAUAAGAAAAUUAAAUUUUACACUAUCUGAAAAACAUAAUUUUAGAUAUAAGUCAUUGAGAGAAGAUUAUACAUGAAUGGUGCGUUGGAUUAUAUUGAUGAUGGAUUAUGUUGAAUGAUUGGAUGAUUAUGUGGAUAAUUUGGAUAGGGCUAUGCUAUUCAGAAAUAGAAUAACUAUUUCAACAAAGAAGACAAUUGAGAUCAACUCAAGUCUUAAACACUCAAACUUAACUUGUUUAUUUCAUAUGGGCAAAUGCCCUAUUCAUAGGCUCAAGAGAGUCGGUUACAAUUAUUGUUGCAAUCGUUCGAUUGCAAUACGACAUACAUAUUUACAUUAUAAUUCCCGAGACUAUUGACGGUUACACACUUUAUGUGACAUCUCAAAUAAUACAACCGACACUUAAUAAUUAUCCCACCGACACUUCUAUUUAAUUACGUAAAAAUAACAAACCUUUAUUUAAGAGACGUGUCCUUUCAACGUGGAAGGGAUUGUUAUUUUUACGUAAUUAAAUAGAAGUGUAGGUAGGAUAAUUAUUAAGUGUCGGUUGUAUUAUUUGUGAUGUAACAUAAAGUGUGUAACCCUCAAUAGUCUAGGGGGCUAUAAUGUAAAUAUGUAUGUCGUAUUGCAAUCAAACGAUUGCAACAAUAAUUGUAACCGGCNNNNNNNNNNNNNNNNNNNNNNNNNNNNNNNNNNNNNNNNNNNNNNNNNNNNNNNNNNNNNNNNNNNNNNNNNNNNNNNNNNNNNNNNNNNNNNNNNNNNNNNNNNNNNNNNNNNNNNNNNNNNNNNNNNNNNNNNNNNNNNNNNNNNNNNNNNNNNNNNNNNNNNNNNNNNNNNNNNNNNNNNNNNNNNNNNNNNNNNNNNNNNNNNNNNNNNNNNNNNNNNNNNNNNNNNNNNNNNNNNNNNNNNNNNNNNNNNNNNNNNNNNNNNNNNNNNNNNNNNNNNNNNNNNNNNNNNNNNNNNNNNNNNNNNNNNNNNNNNNNNNNNNNNNNNNNNNNNNNNNNNNNNNNNNNNNNNNNNNNNNNNNNNNNNNNNNNNNNNNNNNNNNNNNNNNNNNNNNNNNNNNNNNNNNNNNNNNNNNNNNNNNNNNNNNNNNNNNNNNNNNNNNNNNNNNNNNNNNNNNNNNNNNNNNNNNNNNNNNNNNNNNNNNNNNNNNNNNNNNNNNNNNNNNNNNNNNNNNNNNNNNNNNNNNNNNNNNNNNNNNNNNNNNNNNNNNNNNNNNNNNNNNNNNNNNNNNNNNNNNNNNNNNNNNNNNNNNNNAUAUAUAUAUAUAUAUAUAAGAAUAUAUAUGAUGAUGCAUGAUGAACAUAUAUGCAUAUGAACGAAAGAUUUAAUAUUCAGCAUAUUAGUAAGAACGUUACUUUGCUCUGAUACCAACUUUAAAAUAACAUGAUGACGGAUUACUUGCUCUCAUACCAAAUUUAAAGACAUGACGGAAUUAAUAAAGAUUAAGAGAAGAUUAUACCUGAAUGAUGCGGUGGAUUAUAUUGAUGAUGGAUUAUGUUGAAUAAUUAGAUGGUUAUGUGGAUAAUUUGGAUAGAACUCUACUAUUUGAAAAUAGAAAAACUAUUUCAACAGAGAAGAAAGUUGAGAUCAACUCAAGUCUUAAACACUCAAACUUAACUUGUUUAUUUCAUAUGGGCAAAGGCCCUGUUUAUAGGCUCAAGAGAGUCGGUUACAAUUAUUGUUGCAAUCGUCUGAUUGCAAUACAACAUACAUAUUUACAUUGUAACCCCCUAGACUAUUGAGGGUUACACACUUUAAGUUUGGCAAGUACAAUUACAUCGAUUUCACCCAUACCUCAAGUAUAUCAAAAGUGCCAACAACCAUAUAGCAGACACGGUAACAAGUGAAUGGAAGCCAUCAUAAAGCAAGCUAGAUAAGAAGCAACACUAUUCAUGGAAGACUAACACAAGAAUUAAAAAAUAUCAGCUUUUUCGGAGGCGGGAGGAAUGACGCAAGCAAUGACAUAAAAAGCCAUUAUUGAAGAUUAACGAGAGGAAUAAUGUAAGCAAUGAUGUAAAAAGCCAUUAUUGAAGACACCUAAUGAUGUAAGCAAUGACAUAAAAAGCCAUUAUUGAAGACACCUGUCUUUUCAAUGUGGAAGGGAUUAUUAUAUUUUUAAUUAUGUAAAGUGUUGGUAGAAUUAUUUGUAUUUGUCGGUAGGAUAAUUAUUAAGUGUAUGUUGUAUUAUUUGUGAUGUAACAUAAAGUGUGUAACCCUCAAUAGUCUAGGGGGCUAUAAUGUAAAUAUGUAUGUCGUAUUGCAAUCAAACGAUUGCAACAAUAAUUGUAACCGGCUCUCUUGAGCCUAUAAAUAGGGCAUUUGCCCAUAUGAAAUAAACAAGUUAAGUUUGAGUGUUUAAGACUUGAGUUGAUCUCAAUUGUCUUCUCUGUUGAAAUAGUUGUUCUAUUUCUGAAUAGCAGAGUUCUAUCCAAAUUAUCCACAUAAUCAUCCAAUUAUUCAACAUAAUCCAUCAUCAAUAUAAUCCACCACAUCAUUCAGGUAUAAUCUUAUCUUAAUCUUUCUUAAUUCCGUCAUGUUGUUAAAUUUGGUAUCAGAGCCAUUAAUCCGUCACCAUGUUAUUUUGAAUUUGGUAUCAGAGCUAAGUAACGUUCUUACUACUAUUUUGAAUAUUAAAUCUUUCAUUCAUAUGAUAUAUGUUCAUCAUGCAUCAUCAUAUAUAUUCUUAUAAAUAUUCAUCGUUACAAACAUUCAUCGUUAUAAGUUAUAAACUCAUUAUUAAAAUCAAAUAUUAUUAUCCACCUACAAUUUAAACAUAUGUCGGUAGAAGUUUUUUUACAAUUAUGAUUAUGUACCAAGAAGUUAGAAACACAUUUCAUAUGUCAAAAAAGUUUUUAAUUCUCUGACUGCAUCAUAAAUAUAAUAGUAUUAAAAAACCCCACCAUCAACAUCCUAUUAGAAUUUAUAAAUCGUAACUUUGAAAAAAAAAAUAUAAUAAAAAAUAAAUUAUCAUUUUGUUUCUAAAAAUUAUAAUCAUAAGUUUUUCAAGUUUAAAUAUUAACAAAUAAAAAAUCAUGAAAAUAAAAUAACAAGAAUAAUUUAUUUAAUAUGUCUCAAGAAAUAGAAAAUACACCAAUCAUUAUUAAUAACGAAGAAAACGAAUCGGGAUACUCUUUUGAUGCUCUAAUUAAUAAAAAUAAUAUUAAUAAAGAUGCUAUAAGAAAAUCAAAUUUUACACUAUCUGAAAAACAUAAUUUUAGAUAUAACUCAUUGAGAGAAGAUUAUACAUGAAUGAUGUGUUGGAUUAUAUUGAUGAUGGAUUAUGUUGAAUGAUUUGAUGAUUAUGUGGAUAAUUUGGAUAAGGAUCUGCUAUUCAGAAAUAAAACAACUAUUUCAACAGAGAAGACAAUUGUGAUCAACUCAAGUCUUAAACACUCAAACUUAACUUGUUUAUUUCAUAUGGGCAAAGACCCUAUUCAUAGGAUCAAGAGAGUCGGUUACAAUUAUUGUUGCAAUCGUUUGAUUGCACUACGACGUACAUAUUUACAUUAUAGCCCCCUAAACUAUUGAGGGUUACACACUUUAUGUUACAUCACAAAUAAUACAACCGACACUUAAUAAUUAUCCUACCGACACUUCUAUUUAAUUACGUAAAAAUAACAAUCCUUUAUUUAAGACACGUGUCCUUUCAACGUGGAAGGGAUUGUUAUUUUUACGUAAUUAAAUAGAAGUAUCGGUAGGAUAAUUAUUAAGUGUCGGUUGUAUUAUUUGUGAUGUAACAUCAAGUGUGUAACCCUCAAUAGUCUAGGGGCUAUAAUGUAAAUAUAUAUGUCGUAUUGCAAUCAAACGAUUGCAACAAUAAUUGUAACCGGCUCUCUUGAGCAUCAAAAGUGUAUCCCACUUCAUUUUCUUCGUUAAUAAUAAUGAUUGGUGUAUUUUCUUUUUCCUGAGACAUAUUUAAUAAAUUAUUCUUGUUAUUUUAUCUUCAAGAUUUUUUAUUUGUUAAUAUUUAAACUUGAAAAACUCAUGAUUAUAAUUUUUAGAAACAAAAUGAUAAUUUAUUUUUUCUUUCAAAGUUACGAUUUAUCAAUUCUAAUAAGAUGUUGAUGGUGGGGUUUUCUAAUACUAUUAUAUUUAUGAUGCAGUUAGAGAAUUAAAAACCUCUUUGACAUAUGAAAUGUGUUUCUAACUUCUUGGUACAUAGUCAUAAUUGUAAAAACUCUUCUACCGACAUAUGUUUAAAUUGUAGGUGGAUAGUAGUAUUUGAUUUUAAUAAUGAGUUUAUGAUAACAACUUAUAACGAUGAAUUAUUGUAACGAUGAAUAUAUUGGAAUAGUGUCUAAGGCUGCAACUAUAUUAGGCAAAUAUUUGACCCGGUUGUGCAUGGUCCUUUUGGGUUGCCUUCACCAUAGCAACUUGAUAGGAUGAUUUAUUAUGAGAGAGUAAAUAUUAUUAAUAUAUUAUGAGAAUAAUAUAAAGAAUAAUAUAUUGUUAUUUGAUUAAUAUAAGUCAUAGAAUUAAUUGGAAUUAAUUUGGUGACUUAAAGAGAUUAAUUAAAUAAGAGGGUAUAAACUGUCAAUUGUUUGAUAGUUAAACUUUAGACUGUAAAUCCAUAUAGAUAUGGAUUGGACGGAUUCUAGAAGCUAAAGGAUAGCUCAAAUCGUCCAAGAGUUAUCUAAGGAAUGGAUUUGGAUAGCCUUAAGAGAAGAUUAUCCAAUUAGGGUUUAGGUUGUAACCCUUAAGGAGUCUACAAGUAUAAAUAGACCCUAUGGCAAAGGGAAAUCGGCACUUCAUCUAAAGUAAGAGAACCCUGGCCGAUUUCCUCCCCUCUCCUCUCUCCCAAAUCAUCCUCCUUGCUAUUUGGUGUUUGUAAGCCAUUAGAGGAGUGACAAUUGUGACUCUAGAAGCUCCAAGACAACAAGAUCAACAAGGAAUUCAAAGGUAUGAUUCUAGAUCUGUUUCAAUAUUGUUAUUACACCUAAAUAGUCAUUAGAAGUCUUGGAUUCAAAGCAUGUUUAAUUAGAAAGCCUAGAUCCAAGCAUUAGGGUUUUGCAUGCGCACAUAGGAAAGUUCUUAUGGCUAAAACCCAUCAGUGGUAUCAGAGCCUAGCUUGGUUUUCAUUAAAUUGUUGCUUGAUUAACUGAAACAAACCUGCAAAAUUCGAUUUUUUGGUUUCUGAGUCAUGGACUCGGCGAGUUCCAAAGUGGACUCGGCGAGUUGGCCUGACUCGGCGAGUCCUUUUGUGCACUCGGCGAGUCCAGGCGUCAGGAAUGGCCAGAUUCGGGAUUUCUUCAUAAUUAUCUUAUGGAAACUUACCUUAAUCAUAAUAGAUCAAUCUAAAUCCGAUUUUGUUAUAUAUAUGACUAUUAUCUUGAUCUAGUUAAAGGUAUUUAUCAACUAAUAAAAUAUUUAAUUUCCUUAUAUGAUAAUUAAUUAAUUAUUUUAAUUAUUUUGGUAAUUAUCUUUCAAAGAAAUCUUGAAUAAAAUCAAAUAUAGAUAAUUAGGAUAUUAAUUGUUAAUUGGAAUUAUUUGUUAUUUAAUCCUCCAUGUUUUAAAUGUUUAAAACUUGCCCUCAAGUUUUGAAAUUUAUAUUUGUGAUUAAAAGUUUUAAUUUAGACAACUUAAAUUUCAAACCCUAGAUUUUAAGGUAUAAUCUUAUCUUAAUCUUUCUUAAUACCGUCAUGUUGUUAAAUUUGGUAUCAGAGCAAUUAAUCCGUCAUCAUGUUAUUUUGAAUUUGGUAUCAGAGCUAAGUAACGUUCUUACUAUUAUUUUGAAUAUUAAAUCUUUCAUUCAUAUGAAUAUAUGUUCAUCAUGCAUCAUCAUAUAUAUUCUUAUAAAUAUUCAUCGUUACAAACAUUCAUCGUUAUAAGUUAUAAACUCAUUAUUAAAAUCAAAUAUUAUUAUCCACCUACAAUUUAAACAUAUGUCCGUAGAAGUUUUUUUUACAACUAUGACUAUGUACCAAGAAGUUAGUAACACAUUUCAUAUGUCAAAAAAGAUUUUAAUUCUCUGACUGCAUCAUAAAUAUAAUAGUAUUAAAAAACCCCACCAUCAAUAUCCUAUUAGAAUUUAUAAAUCGUAACUUUGAAAAAAAUUAUAAUAACUAAAUAAAUUAUCAUUUUGUUUCUAAAAAUUAUAAUCAUAAGUUUUUCAAGUUUAAAUAUUAACAAAUAAAAAAUCUUGAAAAUAAAAUAACAAGAAUAAUUUAUUAAAUAUGUCUCAAGAAAUAGAAAAUACACCAAUCAUUAUUAAUAACGAAGAAAAUGAAUCGGGAUACACCUUUGAUGCUCUAAUUAAUAAAAAUAAUAUUAAUAAAGAUGCUAUAAGAAAAUCAAAUUUUACACUAUCUGAAAAACAUAAUUUUAGUUAUAACUCAUUGAGAGAAGAUUAUACAUGAAUGAUGCGGUGGAUUAUAUAGAUGAUGGAUUAUGUAGAAUGAUUGGAUGAUUAUGUGGAUAAUUUGAAUAGGGCUCUGCUAUUUAGAAAUAGAACAACUAUUUCAACAGAGAAGACAAUUGAGAUCAACUCAAGUCUUAAACACUCAAACUUAACUUGUUUAUUUCAUAUGGGCAAAGGCCCUAUUCAUAGGCUCAAGAGAGCCGGUUGCAAUCGUUCGAUUGCAAUACGACAUACAUAUUUACAUUAUAAUUCCCGAGACUAUUGACGGUUACACACUUUAUGUUACAUCUCAAAUAAUACAACCGACACUUAAUAAUUAUCCUACCGACACUUCUAUUUAAUUACGUAAAAGUAACAAUCCUUUAUUUAAGACACGUGUCCUUUCAACGUGGAAGGGAUUGUUAUUUUUACGUAAUUAAAUAGAAGUGUCGGUAGCAUAAUUAUUAAGUGUCCGUUGUAUUAUUUGUGAUGUAACAUAAAGCGUGUAACCCUCAAUAGUCUAGGGGGCUAUAAUGUAAAUAUGUAUGUCGUAUUGCAAUCAAACGAUUGCAACAAUAAUUGUAACCAGCCCUCUUGAGCAUCAAAAGUGUAUCCCACUUCAUUUUCUUCGUUAUUAAUAAUGAUUGGUGUAUUUUCUAUUUCUUGAGACAUAUUUAAUAAAUUAUUCUUGUUAUUUUAUCUUCAAGAUUUUUUAUUUGUUAAUAUUUAAACUUGAAAAACUCAUGAUU